rnacentral:rRNA from 1 species
GUCCACGCCGUAAACUAUGGAUACUAGCUGUUGGAGGUAUCGACCCCUCCAGUAGCGAAGCUAACGCGUUAAGUAUCCCGCCUGUGGAGUACGGUCGCAAGACUAAAACAUAAAGGAAUUGACGGGGACCCGCACAAGCGGUGGAUUGUGUUCUUUAAUUCGAUGAUAAACGAAGAACCUUACCAGGGUUUGACAUCCCCAAGAAUUUUGCCGAAAGGCGAGAGUGCUUUAUUGAACUUGGUGACAGGUGAUGCAUGGCCGUCGU